ACGAACGCUGGCGGCAUGCCUAACACAUGCAAGUCGAACGAGACCUUCGAGUCUAGUGGCGCACGGGUGCGUAACGCGUGGGAACCUGCCCUUAGGUUCGGAAUAACUCCCCGAAAGGGGUGCUAAUACCGGAUAAUGUCUUCGGACCAAAGAUUUAUCGCCUUUGGAUGGGCCCGCGUUGGAUUAGCUAGUUGGUAGGGUAAAAGCCUACCAAGGCGACGAUCCAUAGCUGGUCUGAGAGGAUGAUCAGCCACACUGGGACUGAGACACGGCCCAGACUCCUACGGGAGGCAGCAGUGGGGAAUAUUGGACAAUGGGCGAAAGCCUGAUCCAGCAAUGCCGCGUGAGUGAUGAAGGCCUUAGGGUUGUAAAGCUCUUUUACCCGGGAUGAUAAUGACAGUACCGGGAGAAUAAGCUCCGGCUAACUCCGUG
rnacentral:rRNA from 1 species